rnacentral:lncRNA from 7 species
UUUAUUUUUUUAUUGUCUAUGUCUUUCUCUAACUAAUUUUGUACUUGUAGAAAGAAGUUGCCUUUAUUAUUCAACUAUCUACGACACAUGCACUGAUUUUAAGGUAACUUGUACAAUUACGAACCCCAAUCCAAAUUAAUCCCCCGGUCCUAAAUAAGCCAGAUAAUUAAGAAUCCUGGCCCAAAUAGGAAAAGGUACAUGUAGAUAUUAGGGGGGAGGGAUAGAGAGAUAUAGAGAGAAUUAUCUUAUACAUAUAUAUUGUUUUCUACUCUUAAAAGUAUGUAAACAUACUUAAACUAGUAAAUGAAUACACACAAUAGCGUU